rnacentral:tRNA from 1 species
AAGGUCUUAGCUUAAAGUAAAGUCUCUGGGUUGCAUUCAGAGGAUGUGGGAUAGAGUCCUGCAGGUCUUA